CUACGGGGGGCACCAGGCGCGUAACCUCUACAAUGCACGCAAGUGUGAUAGGGGGAUUCUGAGUGCUCAUGCUUAGCAUGGGCUUUUGCCAAGACUAGAUCUCUUGGCGAAUAAGGGAUGGGUAAGACUGGUGCCAGCCGCCGCGGUAACACCAGCGUCCCAAGUGCAAUCGCGAUUAUUGGGCCUAAAGCGUCCGUAGCAGGUUUGAUAAAUCUUUUGUGAAAUCGUCAAGCUUAACUUGACGAAUGGCAGAAGACACUGUUAAACUAGGGACCGGGAGGGGUCAGAAGUAUUCUGGGGGGAUCGGUAAAAUGAUAUAAUCCCCAGAGGACUACCGAUGGCGAAGGCAUCUGACCAGAACGGAUCCGACUGUGAGGGACGAAGGCUAGGGGAGCGAACCGGAUUAGAUACCCCCGUAGUC
rnacentral:rRNA from 1 species